GGAUUUGCUUUUCUCCCUGAAUCAUCAUCUCUACGAUAGUACUGCAAUCCAAUCCAACGCCAUCUGAAGUGCUUGAUAUAUAGCAGGGUCUUCAGACCCGGCCAUUUCCCAAGUCGCUGCUGCAGCCAGCCACCAGGAACCCGUCGGAGUCGCGAAAGCAUAAGCAUCGUUAUCUGGUGUUUCUGUUCAACUCAUGCAAGUCCUUUACUACUUGUUGUAAACUUUCAAUAACAACUUUCAACUAUGGCGCUUUCCGGAACUGCCUUAUCCUUCAAUGGACUUUCUUCUACUCUCAAGGAGUUUAAUUUCUCGCCGGGUUUGUUCAUGAAUAGUUUUAACAAGCGACAUCAUGUUUGUCUGUCAUCCUUUGAGCCAAAUAGGUUGGUUUUUGGAAAAAGUGAAAGAGGAAACCAACUAUCUAUUUCUCCUAAUCAAUGCCUCAAGUUUCAAAUGAGAAGAUUAGGUAAGUUUCUUUUGCUUCAACCCUUAAAAAUCAAUUCAGGGCUCUUUUUGUAUAAUAUUAUAAUUGAGUAAAUCGUCAUUUUAGUUCCUAAAUGUGUAAAGUUGU